rnacentral:rRNA from 1 species
GGAUUAGAUACCCUGGUAGUCCAUGCCGUAAACGAUGUGUGUUAGACGUUGGAAAUUUAUUUUCAGUGUCGCAGCGAAAGCGAUAAACACACCGCCUGGGGAGUACGACCGCAAGGUUAAAACUCAAAUGAAUUGACGGGGACCCGCACAAGUAGUGGAGCAUGUGGUUUAAUUCGAAGAUACGCGCAGAACCUUACCUGGACUUGACAUAUAGGGUCUAGCUAUAGAGAUAUAGUGUGCAUUAGCGCCCUAUACAGGUGGUGCAUGGCUGUCGUCAGCUCGUGCCG